UAUGGUCCUGACCACCUGAGAGUAGCACCACGCAAUAAUGACGAAGGGCACGAAGAAGCCCAGCAGAUGGAGGACAAUUCCGUAUGAUCCAGGGACUCUGCUGCCUCUGCGCCUGAUGUAUCCCGUCUGAGCGAACCUGAAGAUGGGGCAGGUGAGAAUGAAAACCACCACCCACACCAAUGCGCAGGUCCCCUUCACCACCCGCUUGCUCUCCAGAGUGAUGGUCCUCAUCGGAUGGCAAAUCCCCAAGUACCUGUGGAGGACAACCAGCGGCAGGCAGUGCAUCUAGCACAACAAGGUGAGGUGCAUUCACACAAAUACGACGCAAAUCCACCCGUCCUCCACAUGAGGGUCGCGGGGGCGCUGUUCCAAUCACAGCUGA